rnacentral:rRNA from 1 species
AAAGGAAUAGACGGGGGCCCGCACAAGCAGUGGAGUAUGUGGUUUAAUUCGAAGCAACGCGAAGAACCUUACCAGGGCUUGACAUACUGAGGAAUGCUGUCGAGAGGCAGCAGCCCUUCGGGGCCUCAGAACAGGUGGUGCAUGGUUGUCGUCAGCUCGUGUCGUGAGAUGUUGGGUUAAGUCCCGCAACGAGCGCAACCCUUGCAGUCAGUUGGCAUCAUUAAGUUGGCCACUCUGAGUGGACUGCCGGUGACAAAUCGGAGGAAGGUGGGGACGACGUCAAAUCAUCAUGCCCCUUAUGUCCUGGGCUACACACGUACUACAAUGGCUGCUACAGAGGGAAGCGAAGCCGCGAGGCAGAGCGGAUCCUAAAAAGCAGUCUCAGUUCAGAUUGCGGGCUGCAACCCGCCCGCAUGAAGCAGGAAUUGCUAGUAAUGGCAGGUCAGCAUACUGCCGUGAAUACGUUCCCGGGCCUUGUACACACCGCCCGU